rnacentral:rRNA from 1 species
AUUGAACGCUGGCGGCAGGCCUAACACAUGCAAGUCGAGCGGAUGAAGGGAGCUUGCUCCUGGAUUCGGCGGCGGACGGGUGAGUAAUGCCUAGGAAUCUGCCUGGUAGUGGGGGAUAACGUCCGGAAACGGGCGCUAAUACCGCAUACGUCCUGAGGGAGAAAGUGGGGGAUCUUCGGACCUCACGCUAUCAGAUGAGCCUAGGUCGGAUUAGCUAGUUGGUGGGGUAAAGGCCUACCAAGGCGACGAUCCGUAACUGGUCUGAGAGGAUGAUCAGUCACACUGGAACUGAGACACGGUCCAGACUCCUACGGGAGGCAGCAGUGGGGAAUAUUGGACAAUGGGCGAAAGCCUGAUCCAGCCAUGCCGCGUGUGUGAAGAAGGUCUUCGGAUUGUAAAGCACUUUAAGCUGGGAGGAAGGGCAGUAAGUUAAUACCUUGCUGUUUUGACGUUACCAACAGAAUAAGCACCGGCUAACUUCGUG